GUGGAACAAGGGAUGCUGAUGGACACAACCAUUGGUUCUUUCACCAUUCCUCCUGCCUCCUUGUCAACAUUUGAUGUUAUCAGUGUUAUUUGCUGGGUGCCAAUCUAUGAUAGGAUCAUUGUUCCGAUUGCCAGGAAGUUCACAGGAAAAGAGAGGGGCUUCUCUCAAUUGCAACGGAUGGGAAUUGGCCUUUUCAUUUCAGUUUUAUCCAU
rnacentral:misc_RNA from 1 species